UGGAAUUGCAGUAAUCGUGGAUCAGCAUGCCACGGUGAAUACGUUCCCGGGUCUUGUACACACCGCCCGUCACACCAUGGGAGCCGGUAAUACCCGAAGUCAGUAGUCUAACCGCAAGGAGGACGCUGCCGAAGGUAGGAUUGGCGACUGGGGUGAAGUCGUAACAAGGUACC
rnacentral:rRNA from 1 species